rnacentral:sRNA from 1 species
UUUCCUGCUCUUGAAUAUCUGGUUGAACUACUUAAGCUUAAUUUGUUAAACUCCGGUAAGUAUCUAGCCCACAUGAUUUGACUCAGAGAUUCUCUUUCGUCCACAGACAGUCAUCUCAGGAGCAGAAAGAAAAGAGCUCCCAAAUGCUAAAUCUAUUCAGGGGCUCUCAAGAACAAUGGAAUAUCAUCCUGAUUUAGAAAAUUUGGAUGAAGAUGGAUAUACUCAAUUACACUUCGACUCUCGAAGCAAUACCAGGAUAGCUGUUGUUUCAGAGAAAGGAUCGUGUGCUGCAUCUCCUCCUUGGCGCCUCAUUGCUGUAAUUUUGGGAAUCCUAUGCUUGGUAAUACUGGUGAUAGCUGUGGUCCUGGGUACCAUGGGUGAGUAUUUGGUGGAGGAGAUUAACAACAGACAAUUUAGUAAGCAAUUAUUAUGUGCCAGGCACUCUUUUAAGGGCUUGACAUGCAUAAUCUACUUUAAUUUGUAUAUAAUCUGGUUUUAUCUGUAUUGGGUUGGUGCUGUUAAUGCCCAUUUCACUUAUAAAGGGUGUGAGAGACUGAGAGGUUAUUUUACCUUUCCAGGGUUAUAAGCUAGUUAGUGGUGGGACCAUGAUUAGAAAUUUGGGUGAUCUGUCUAAAAAACUCAUACUCUUAACUACAUUGCUCUCCUACCUCCCUUGCAUAGCUGGUUUCAAAGCUGUGGAAUUCAAAGGAUAAAUUAAUGAAGAAAACAAGCGGAGCUGAAGAAGAAAGUACAAUAUGGUGCUGUCUUCCUAAUGAAAUAAAUUCACUAAAUGGACAUUAAGCUAUUUUUAUGAUUCACAUUAUUUAAGGAAAUUAUUUCCGAUCUUUAAUAUAAACACCUUUGAAUACACCAGAAAUUUCCUGAGGCACUUGGUCUUAAGUCGAUAUUUUGUAAUGGAUUAAUUUUUUUUUAGAUUUUAUAUCACAUGCAAUCUGUUGUCAGUCACCUUCAGAGAGUCUUCAUGACAUUCCUUAAUUAGUCAAAUGUUUAUUGAGUGCAUUCUAUGUUAUAGGUACUGGGCAGUUUCUCAAGGAUCUCUCAUUUUUAAAUAACAGAAGAAAGGUGAAAGAUGUUGCUAUUUCAAAUCUGUCAUGGGUCCAAUUGACUCUAUGACAUUUGCCUCUUGCUGCCUCCCUCAUUCUAUUUCUUCUUCUCCACCUUCUUUUUUCUUUUCUUUUCUUUUUUUUUACUAUACCUCCUUUAUAAAAGUUAUGUAUUUCUUUUCAUCUAUUCUAUCAACCGUCUUUGUCUCUCCACAGCAAUAUAUCAUCUAUUUAUCAUUAAUCAAUAAUGUAUUCUUUUAUUCCAAUAACAUUUGGGUUUUGGGAUUUUAAUUUUCAAACACAGCAGAAUGACGUUUUUUCUGUCACUAUUAUUAUUGUUGGUAUGUGAAGCUAUUUGGAGAUCCAAUUCAGGAAGCAACACAUUGGAGAAUGGCUACUUUCCAUCAAGAAAUAAAGAGAACCACAGUCAACCCACACAAUCAUCUUUAGAAGACAGUGUGACUCCUACCAAAGCUGUCAAAACCACAGGGGUUCUUUCCAGCCCUUGUCCUCCUAAUUGGAUUAUAUAUGAGAAGAGCUGUUAUCUAUUCAGCAUGUCACUAAAUUCCUGGGAUGGAAGUAAAAGACAAUGCUCGCAACUGGGCUCUAAUCUCCUAAAGAUAGACAGCUCAAAUGAAUUGGUCUCACUCUGCUGCCCAAGCUAGAGUGCAGUGAAGCCUCGACAUCCCAGGCUCAAGUGAUCCUCCCACCUCAGCUUCCUGAGUAGGGAUUUAUAGUAAAACAAGUGUCUUCCCAACCUGAUAAUUCAUUUUGGAUAGGCCUUUCUCGGCCCCAGACUGAGGUACCAUGGCUCUGGGAGGAUGGAUCAACAUUCUCUUCUAACUUAUUUCAGAUCAGAACCACAGCUACCCAAGAAAACCCAUCUCCAGAUUGUGUAUGGAUUCAUGUGUCAGUCAUUUAUGACCAACUGUGUAGUGUGCCCUCAUAUAGUAUUUGUGAGAAGAAGUUUUCAAUGUAAGGGGAAGAGUGGAGAAGGAGAGAGAAAUAUGUGAGGUAGUAAGGAGGACAGAAAACAGAACAGAAAAGAGUAACAGCUGAGGUCAAGAUAAAUGAAGAAAAUGUUUAGAGAGCUUGGCAAACUGUAAUCUUAACCAAGAAAUUGAAGGGAGAGGCUGUGAUUUCUGUAUUUGUCGACCUACAGGUAGGCUAGUAUUAUUUUUCUAGUUAGUAGAUCCCUAGACAUGGAAUCAGGGCAGCCAAGCUUGAAUUUUUAUUUUUUAUUUAUUUAUUUUUUUGAGAUAGGGUCUCACUUUGUUACCCAGGCUGGAGUGCAGUGGCACAAUCUCGACUCACUGCAGCUAUCUCUCGCCUCAGCCCCUCAAGUAGCUGGGACUACAGGUGCAUGCCACCAUGCCAGGCUAAUUUUUGGUGUUUUUUGUAGAGACUGGGUUUUGCCAUGUUGACCAAGCUGGUCUCUAACUCCUGGGCUUAAGUGAUCUGCCCGCCUUGGCCUCCCAAAGUGCUGGGAUUACAGAUGUGAGCCCCACACCUGGCCCCAAGCUUGAAUUUUCAUUCUGCCAUUGACUUGGCAUUUACCUUGGGUAAGCCAUAAGCGAAUCUUAAUUUCUGGCUCUAUCAGAGUUGUUUCAUGCUCAACAAUGCCAUUGAAGUGCAUGGUGUGUUGCCACGAUUUGACCCUCAACUUCUAGCAGUAUAUCAGUUAUGAACUGAGGGUGAAAUAUAUUUCUGAAUAGCUAAAUGAAGAAAUGGGAAAAAAUCUUCACCACAGUCAGAGCAAUUUUAUUAUUUUCAUCAGUAUGAUCAUAAUUAUGAUUAUCAUCUUUAAAAAGCAGGAACUCCUACUUUUUCUUUAUCAAUUAAAUAGCUCAGAGAGUACGUCUGCCAUAUCUCUAACAGAAUCUUUUUUUUUUUUUUUUUUUUUUGAGACGGAGUUUCGCUCUUGUUGCCCAGGCUGGAGUGCAACAGCACGAUCUCGGCUCACCGCAACCUCCGCCUCCUGGGUUCAAGCGAUUCUCCUGCCUCAGCCUCCCACGUAGCUGGGAUUACAGUCAUGCACCACCACACCCGGCUAAUUUUGUAUUUUUUUAGUAGAGACAGGGUUUCUCCAUGUCGGUCAGGGUAGUCCCGAACUCCUGACCUCAGGUGAUCUGCCUGCCUCAGCCUCCCAAGUGCUGGGAUUACAGGCGUGAGCCACUGCACCCAGCCUAGAAUCUUGUAUAAUAUGUAAUUGUAGGGAAACUGCUCUCAUAGGAAAGUUUUCUGCUUUUUAAAUACAAAAAUACAUAAAAAUACAUAAAAUCUGAUGAUGAAUAUAAAAAAGUAACCAAUCUCAUUGGAACAAGUAUUAACAUUUUGGAAUAUGUUUUAUUAGUUUUGUGAUGUACUGUUUUACAAUUUUUACCAUUUUUUCAGUAAUUACUGUAAAAUGGUAUUGUUGGAAUGAAACUAUAUUUCCUCAUGUGCUGAUUUGUCUUAUUUUUUUCGUACUUUCCCACUGGUGCUAUUUUUAUUUCCAAUGGAUAUUUCUGUAUUACUAGGGAGGCAUUUACAGUCCUCUAAUGUUGAUUAAUAUGUGAAAAGAAAUUGUACACAUUUUACUAAAUUAUUCAGUUUAAAAUGGAUGAUUUUGUGUUAUGUGGAUUUCAUUUCAAUAAAAAAAAAAACUCUUAUCGAAAAA